CCGCGGUUGGGAAUCGUUCCCAUGAUUCAUUGCAAGUCAGUUCAGCCAGUCUGAACCUUGGCAGCUGGGUCAUUACCGGCCGAGCAUUCUAGCAGAGUAGAGGUGGCUAGGAGACUAGUCCGACAUGUAACUAGUCUGAGAUAUACAUUGGCAGUUACUAUGUUUUAAAACACUUGGCAAUGACACGGAGAAAGGUCUGUGAGUCAGGGGUAUAAUCAUGGACUACCAGUGAUCGUGAAGACCGCCUGAUACAGCUGGGGUUUCGCAAGGACAAAGCGUCUGUGCAUAGGUAUAUCUACCACUGAGGUUCCUGAAGUGUGGGGAAUACCACUACUUAUUCAGAGGGAGACAGAUAAGUUUCCAAAGAACACUUGAGUCAUUUGAUGAUUAGUAGCAGACCAAAUCUGGAGCACUCGCAGCAGUGUAUAGGAAUAGUGGAAACAUUCGGACAGUUUGACAACAAUAACUAGCUUAUAUUUCAUUAGAAUUUUUUUUGAAUAACCCGGGAUUAAAUGUGAAAAGAAUACAUGUAAAAGUUUAGCGGUUUCGAAUUUGAUUGUUAUUAUUAUUAAUUUUUUUUUGUAAAUAGUAAGGAAGAUAUUUUUGAGUGAAUCUGGGUGAGAGUGAGUAUGGGAGUUUUAUUAAGUUAUUUAUAUUUUCCCUCUUUAUUUCUUGUUAAAUAAAUUUCUUUAUCUCAUUGAGAGUGAGAUAAAGCAUUAGCUUUAUCACACGCCCGUUUGAUAAAGCACUUCUGGUCCGAACUACUUUUGACACUGUCCCCGCUUGGAUGACAUAUUUUCUGUGUUUAUGCAUAUCCAUGCAUGAAAUAAAGCGUAAAACUUC